rnacentral:rRNA from 1 species
CCUACGGGAAGCUGCAGUGGGGAAUAUUGGACAAUGGGGGCAACCCUGAUCCAGCCAUGCCGCGUGUGUGAAGAAGGCCCUCGGGUUGUAAAGCACUUUCAGUGAGGAAGAACGCCUGGUGGUUAAUACCCAUCAGGAAAGACAUCACUCACAGAAGAAGCACCGGCUAACUCCGUGCCAGCAGCCGCGGUAAUACGGAGGGUGCGAGCGUUAAUCGGAAUUACUGGGCGUAAAGCGCGCGUAGGUGGCUUGAUAAGCCGGUUGUGAAAGCCCCGGGCUCAACCUGGGAACGGCAUCCGGAACUGUCAAGCUAGAGUGCAGGAGAGGAAGGUAGAAUUCCCGGUGUAGCGGUGAAAUGCGUAGAGAUCGGGAGGAAUACCAGUGGCGAAGGCGGCCUUCUGGACUGACACUGACACUGAGGUGCGAAAGCGUGGGUAGCAAACAGGAUUAAUACCCCAGUAGUC